rnacentral:piRNA from 1 species
UUUGGGUUGUAACUUGCUGGC